GAAAGUAAUUUUCCAAGGUGGCCAAAGACUGUUGCCUACCUCUGAAUUUUUAGCAUCUGACACUGCUUCUAAAUUACAUGAUGGUUUGGAGUACUGCUUCCUGCAAGGAGUUCAAAGCAAUGCUGGCUUCUGGAUUUGGAUUAUGAGCAAAUGAAUUGUUCUUAGCUUCCAACAAAGAUGUUCUGCAGCAGGGCUGCUCAGAACAAAACUGUGCUGACUGCAUU
rnacentral:lncRNA from 1 species